rnacentral:lncRNA from 1 species
ACUCUUCUCAACGGUUCCCUCUUCGGAAGGAAGCGCAGUCCGCAGCGUCGUCCGAGGGCGUGAUCGCCUGCGUCGCACCCGCGUCUCCAGUGGCCACCCCUUGUCCUACAGGAACGCGCAUCUGCUUAGCAGGCGCUGAGCCCUUGAGGAGGCCUAAAAUGAAUGAACGCGGCUGUGCCUCCUGAGCAGGCUCACAGUUGUGGGUGGGGGACAGAAGGGUGUCCAUGCCUAAGGUCGACGGCGAUAAGACAGACGUUCUUCCCAGGAGGAGAUCAGUUCCAGGUGGAGAGGUAUGAAGAACGAGGAACACUGCCCGGGGAGUUUCUUCCUCUGCAAAAUAAGGGAGUGUGUACUGAAUUACCGUUUCCAGCUCCAACAUCCAGGAUUUCAGCACUACCUGCAGAGUAGUGGGAGGAGAGAUAGAGGAAGAAGUGAAGAUAAGAAACCACUCGAAGCCGGUGUCUGGUGCUGGGACCGUGGUGGCUGGGACGGCAGCAGUCGUGCUGUCCAUCUGCUCUUCCGAGGGGUGGCACAUCCUAGCCUCUAUCUUUUCCCCAGAGAAGAUCCCCCUCGUCUGCUCUUCCCCCGUCUCAGCCUUUUAGUGUGUGAACAGUUCUGGUGUUACUCAGCAACGCUUUUGUUAGCGCCUUUACCAGCAAGUACUUGUUAAACACUUAAAUCUUACAAGUGGAAAGAAAAUUCCGUGGUAAAUUUAAGUACAAAAGUCAACCAAAAUUCUGAGUCUCGGACAAGACUGGUUAAAAAUCGUUCUACAAUGAAACUAAUAAAUUAAAUCAUAUAAAACUUUUA